AUUGAGGGUUUCCUAUAAGACAUAGAGAAGGGAGGAGGUCCAUAGACAGGACUAAGAGUAGCUGGGUUCCCUAUAAGAUGUAAUGGAGGAGGUCCAUAGAGAGGACUAAGAGUAGCUGGGUUCCCUAUAAGAUGUAAUGGAGGAGGUCCAUAGAGAGGACUAAGAGUAGCUGGGUUCCCUAUAAGAUGUAAUGGAGGAGGUCCAUAGACAGGACUAAGAGUAGCUGGGUUCCCUAUAAGAUGUAAUGGAGGAGGUACAUAGUACAUAGUCUCAGUCAGGGCUCAACUCCUGCUUCUGUCCCCUGUGUUUUAGUGGAAGAGAGGGGUGCUGAGGGGUCUGAGGUUAGGGUGUAAUACAUUUUGAGCAGGCCCUAUUUGGAGGGAUUCUGAGGUCGGGUGAGGAUAAGGUUAGGGGGUCCUGUCCUCACAGUGCAAGAGAUUGAGAGGUUCCAGACAGUCUAGGGCUGUGUCUGAAAUGGCAUCCUAUUCCCAAUAUAUAGUGCACUACCCUCCCCAGGCAUAGACCCUGGUUAGAAGUAGUGUAGUACAGAGUGAAUGGAGUGCCAUUUGGGACCAGGUUGGGAUCUCUAAUUGUAGCGUCGUCUCUGUGGACUGCCUGGAGGAGUCCUGUGGUUGAGGUUUUAGGUCUGACUCGUUCAGCUGUCAAGACAGGACCGAACCCUCCAGGCCCAACGGGCUUCAUUCCAGUUCCACCAGCACCAAGUACCCCAGACUGUGUGGCUCAACCAAGAGCAGACAGAAAAUAUUAUAUACACAGCCUUCAGAAAGUAUUCACACCCCUGGACUUUUCCCACGUUGUUGUGUUACAGACCGAUUUUAAAACCGCUUAAAUGUAGAUGUUGUAUCACCCCAUAAUGUGAAAGUGGAAUUAUGUUUUUAGAAAUGUUGACUAAUUCAUGAAAAAUGAAACGCUGAAAUGUCUUGAGUCAAUAAGUAUUCAAC
ensembl:lncRNA